AUUCUACACUUUCAUCCCCGACCUCCUGAUUGCGAAACCCACUUUCCCUCCCUGCAACAAUCAUGUUUUUUUUUUUUCUUUGAUAACCUCUUUCUCUCUCAGAGAUCUUCUACUCUUCCUUUUUAAUUGGUAUGUACAUCGUCGGCCGUAACUGCGCCAUCGAUUAUUUCCGGCGUCGGUUGUUUCCUUACAUAAUAGCCGCCAUAGUUAUCUCUAGUCUCACUGAAUCCUCCCAAAACCCAAAACUCAAAACUGAAAAACAAAAGAAGAAGAAAGAAUCCGUCGACGAGUCAGUUUUCCGACGAUCGAAGACGCGUCACUCGUGGUGUGCUCGACUAUGAACAUGCACAUAAUCCUUCGAUUGUUUUUCAUCUAGUUAGUGUGUCUCUAUAAGAUCAUGGAUGAUCAUGUGGGGAGGCAUGAUUUGGUUUCAUGCAAUGCAAUGAAUAAAAUAAUGCUUCAAAGGAGUCUCCCAGAUCCAAACAAUACAGGGUUGACACACUGAAAGAAUGGAUUAGCAAGUUGGGGAAAAAAAGCUGAUAGUUUCACACAUGGAGUUCGUGGAUGAGAUUCCUUCAGAUGGAAAUAAACCCUCUAAACAUGUUGUGUGGAGGGAUCUCCCUGUUUUUUGCCUUGUUUUUCUUAUUUGUUGGAAUCAUAAUUGGAUAUUGUAUUCCCCACUGAAUCUUCUAUGUAACACUUGACGAUUUAAGUUUAUGAAUUAGUAUCUUAUUUCUUUAUUAA